rnacentral:rRNA from 1 species
UACGGAGGUUGCAAGCGUUGUUCGGAAUAACUGGGCGUAAAGGGAGCGCAGGCGGCUUGGUAAGUCUAAAGUGAAAUUCCAGGGCUCAACCCUGGACGUGCCUUGGAUACUGCCUGGCUUGAGUACGUGAGAGGAGAUUGGAAUUCCAGGUGUAGCGGUGAAAUGCGUAGAUAUCUGGAGGAACACCGGUGGCGAAAGCGGAUCUCUGGCACGUUACUGACGCUGAGGCUCGAAAGCGUGGGGAGCAAACGGG